GACGAAGGGGGCUAGCGUUGUUCGGAAUUACUGGGCGUAAAGCGAGUGUAGGUGGUUGGCAUAGUCAGGCGUGAAAGCCUUGAGCUCAACUCAAGAAAUGCGCUUGAUACUGGGCAGCUAGAGGACCGGAGAGGAUAGUGGAAUUCCCAGUGUAGUGGUGAAAUACGUAGAGAUUGGGAAGAACACCAGUGGCGAAGGCGGCUAUCUGGACGGUUUCUGACACUAAGACUCGAAAGCGUGGGGAGCAAACAGG
rnacentral:rRNA from 1 species